CAGAUCCUCCAUUGCGAGCUGGAAGCCCGGACUGAGCAGCAGGUGUGGGGGCAGAGACCGGCAUUAACCCCCCUGUAUGCCCAACCCAGGUGGGGACUUUCUCUGAUGGCUGGAACCGGGCUCUGCUGACCUCAGCUGGAGACUCCAGAGGAGUGACCCAAUGGUAGUGGAUCACUGAGCACCAGGGGCUCACUUCAGAGAAGGAAAACUUGCAGACAGCAGGUGAAGAGAUGCUGAGUGAGAAUGAAGAGGAGAACCUCCAGUAGGGAACCCCUAAGCAGGUGGAGCUGCAUGGGACGUUAUCGGGAAGAUCUAAAUGGAACGUUUCCAGGAGAGUUGACCACGGAAAAUCUUGUGAGAGUCAUUGCAGGUCAGAGGGACAGCAGAGAAACCAAUUGUGGAAGGAAAUAAUUAAAUACAUUACUUGUGAGGAAGGGUGCAAAGACCUCAAGGAAACCACAGCCCAGCAGGGAAUCCACAUGAGAGAAAAAACACACACACAAUGCACAGCAAAAACUUCAGUUCGAGAUUGCACUCUUUUAGACGCCAGAAAACCCACACAAGAGAGAAACUUUAUAAAUGCUUUGAGUGUGGAAAAAGAUGUAGUGACAACUCGCACCUUAUUAGACAUCAAAGAAUUCACACAGGAAAGACCCUAUAAUUGCAUUGACUGGGAGUUGGUUUAGCAACAGAAGUACACUUUAUUAGGCAUCAGAGAACCCCCACAUAGGAGAGAAACCCUACAAAUGAAUUGAUGGUGAGAAACAUUUUUUCAGAGCUCACAUCACAGAAUCCAGACAGGAGAGAAACCAUGUAAAUGCCAAACCUGUGGGAUACAUUUCAAUCGGCGGUCAACCCUUGUUUGAUAUCAGAGAGUCCAUACAAGAGAGGCGCCCUAUAAAUACCUUGAGGGUGGGAAAAAUUUUAGUGACGACUCACAACUUAUUACACAUCAAAGUGCCCACAUGGGUGAGAGACCCUAUAAAUGCUUUGACUGUGGGAAAAGUUUCCUUCAGAGCGCACAUCUUAUUGUGCAUCAGCGAACCCACACAGGAGAAAUGCCCUAUAAAUGCCCCGACUGCGGGAAAAGCUUCAAUCGAAGUGCAAACCUGGAGAGACACCAGAUAGUCCACAUACGAGAAAAAGCACAUAAAUGCCUCGACUCUGGGGAAAAGGUUAAUGAUAAGUCACUUACUACACAUCACAGAAGCCACUCUGAAGCGAAACCCUAUGUAUGCAAGGACUGUGGGAACAGUUUCAUUCAGAGCUCAGAUCUGAUUGUGCAUCAGAGAGUUCAUACCGGAGAAACACCCUAUAAAUGCCCCGACUGUGGGAAAAACUUCAGUCGAAGUUCAAAUCUUACUAGACAUCAGAGAACCCACACAGGGGAAAAAACCCAUAAAUGCCUGGACUGUGGGAAAAGUUUCAUUCAGAGCUCAGAUGUUAUUGUGCAUCAGAGAAGCCAUACGGGGGAAACGCCCUUUAAAUGCUCUGACUGUGGGAGAUACUUCAGUCGGCUUUCCAACCUUGCUAGACAUCAGAGAAUCCACACGGGGGAAAGACCCCCAUACGUGCCUGGAGUGUGGGAAUAGUUUCAUUCAGAGCUCAGAUUUUCUUCUACAUCAGAGAAUCCACAUGAGAGGGAAAAAACCAUAAAAGCCUCCACUUGUGAGCAAAAUUUUAGUAACAAGUCACGUCUUAGCACAUGCUGGAGAACCCACGUUGGAGAAAGCCCUUAUUAAUCCCUGGACUGUGGAAAAAGUUUCCAUCAGAGUUCAGUUCAUAUUUCACAUCAAAGGAUCCAUAUGGCAGAGUGACUGUGUACGUACUCCGAAUGUGUGAACUGCUUCAUUCACAGCUCACAGCUUUGUAUACAUCAGAUAGUCCAUGCAGGAGAGAGACCCUAUGAAUCAGUAACUCUCAACCUUUCGAGACAGCUGUUCCCUUUUCCGGAGGCUGAUUUGUCUGGCCAACCCCCAAGUUUCACCUCACUUAAAAACAACUUGCUCACAAAAUCAGACAUAAAAACACAACAGGGUCGCAGCCACCAGUACUGAAAGGUGGCUGCCUUUCUCAUUGUUACCCUGUCAUUCUUAAAUAAAUUGUCAGCUGUAGAUUGAGAAACACUGA